rnacentral:rRNA from 1 species
ACUGGUUGAUCCUGCCAGCAGUCAUAUGCUUGUCUUAAAGAUUGAGCCAUGCAUGUUUUAAGUUCAUACCUAUGAAUGGUGAAACCGCGAAUGGCUCAUUAAAUCAGUUAUAAUUUCAUAGGAUGUGUUUUGUUAAUUGGAUAACUGUGGUAAUUCUAGAGCUAAUACAUACAUAUACGUUCAGCUUGCUGGAUGUGCUUUUAUUAGUGCAAACCAUGUCUUCGGACUUCUGUUGAUGAUUCUGAGUAACUUUGCCGAGCAUUUCAGCAUAAAACUGGUGCUAUUCCUUCGAAGUAUCUGCUCUAUCAACUGUCGAUGGUAUAUUAUAUGUUUACCAUGGUUGUAACGGGUAACGGGGAAUUAGGGUUCGAUUCCGGAGAGGGAGCCUGAGAAACGGCUACCACAUCUAAGGAAGGCAGCAGGCGCCCAAAUUACCCAAUCUCGGCACGGGGAGGUAGAGACAAAAAAUAACAAUGCGGGACUCUCAUGAGGCUUCGUAAUUGGAAUGAGUACAUUCUAAAUCCUUUAACGAGGAACUACUGGAGGGCAAGUCUGGUGCCAGCAGCCGCGGUAAUUCCAGCUCUAGUAGCGUAUAUUAAAAUUGUUGCGUCUAAAAAGCUCGUAGUUUGCAAACCUGCCUUGGCUUACACUAGUCCCUGUUGGGGCACCGUUUGUUGAGCGCAAAUAUAGAUAACUGUUUUUGCCGACUUCAUUGUUUGGCUUAUAAGAGUUAUCAAAUAUCACUUUGAUUAAAUUAGAGUGCUUAAAGCAAGUGUGUUACUUGGAUCUAAAUGCAUGGAAUGAUGGGAUAUGGUGUUGUUCUAUUUGUUGGUUUUUGAACGAUGAAAUGAUUGAAAGGAACUGUUAGGGGCGGCUAAUGCGACCUCGGUAGAUAGGCAAGCGCUUACCACUAACGUCACGAUAAGCUGGGCUCAAUAAGCUACAUUAGUUCUAAUCGAGUAACAUGCUCCAAAUCGCAUAUUUGCUCUCGGAACAGCCUUUCUUCAAAUGGCCAUCCAUUCGAGCUUCCACCUGCUUUAAACGAACUUAAGUGUCACUCACCCCGACUAUUACCAAAG